rnacentral:rRNA from 1 species
UCCACGCCGUAAACGAUGGAUGCUAGGUGCGGGGGGCGACAGUUCUCUGUGCCGAAGCCAACGCGAUAAGCAUCCCGCCUGGGGAGUACGGCCGCAAGGUUGAAACUCAAAGGAAUUGACGGGGGCCCGCACAAGCGGUGGAGCAUGUGGUUUAAUUCGACGCAACGCGAAGAACCUUACCGGGGUUUGACAUGCAGGUGGUACUGAACCGAAAGGGGAUGGACCCUUAUCUU